rnacentral:rRNA from 1 species
UCCUACGGGGCGCAGCAGUGGGGAAUAUUGCGCAAUGGGCGAAAGCCUGACGCAGCAACGCCGCGUGAGUGAUGAAGGUCUUCGGAUCGUAAAGCUCUGUCGGCAGGGAAGAAAACUUGGUGACCUAAUACGUCAUCAGGCUGACGGUACCUGCAAAGGAAGCACCGGCUAACUCUGUGCCAGCAGCCGCGGUAAUACAGAGGGUGCGAGCGUUGUUCGGAAUUAUUGGGCGUAAAGAGCGCGUAGGCGGUUUGCUAAGUCUGAUGUGAAAGCCCUUGGCUUAACUGAGGAAGUGCAUUGGAUACUGGCAGGCUUGAGUGUGAGAGAGGAUCGUGGAAUUCCUGGUGUAGCGGUGAAAUGCGUAGAUAUCAGGAGGAACACCGGUGGCGAAGGCGGCGAUCUGGAUCAUAACUGACGCUGAGGCGCGAAAGCGUGGGUAGCAAACAGGAUUAGAUACCCCGGUAGC